UGCCGGUGACAAACCGGAGGAAGGUGGGGAGUGACGUCAAGUCAUCAUGGCCCCUAUGUCCAGGGCUACACACGUGCUACAAUGGGCGAUACAGAGUGACGCGAAGCCGCGAGGUGGAGCAAAUCGCAGAAAAUCGCUCUCAGUUCGGAUUGGAGUCUGAAACCCGACUCCAUGAAGGUGGAAUCGCUAGUAAUCGCGCAUCAGCAUGGCGCGGUGAAUACGUUCCCGGGCCUU
rnacentral:rRNA from 1 species